UACGUAGGGGGCUAGCGUUGUCCGGAAUCAUUGGGCGUAAAGAGCGUGUAGGCGGCCCGGUAAGUCCGCUGUGAAAGUCGGGGGCUCAACCCUCGAAUGCCGGUGGAUACUGUCGGGCUAGAGUGCGGAAGAGGCGAGUGGAAUUCCUGGUGUAGCGGUGAAAUGCGCAGAUAUCAGAAGGAACGCCGGUGGCGAAAGCGGCGGACUGGAUCUCUUCUGACGCUGAGGCGCGAAAGCUAGGGGGAGCAAACGGG
rnacentral:rRNA from 1 species